UACGGAGGGUGCGAGCGUUGUCCGGAAUCACUGGGCGUAAAGGGCGCGUAGGCGGUCUGCUAAGCGUGCGGUGAAAGCCUGGGGCUCAACCCCAGGUCUGCCGUGCGAACUGGUGGACUGGAGCACUGUAGAGGCAGGUGGAAUUCCGGGUGUAGCGGUGGAAUGCGUAGAGAUCCGGAAGAACACCAGUGGCGAAGGCGGCCUGCUGGGCAGUUGCUGACGCUGAGGCGCGACAGCGUGGGGAGCAAACAGG
rnacentral:rRNA from 1 species